AUGUGGAUGAUGACAGAAAUCCGGAUUUCCACUGAUGUGCAAUGUGAUUUUACAAUCAGCUACUUCUGACACAC
rnacentral:snoRNA from 1 species